rnacentral:rRNA from 1 species
GACGAACGCUGGCGGCGUGCCUAAUAAAUGAAAUUAGAAGGCAGUUGGGAACGGGUGGGUAAGGCGUGGGUAACUGCGUGGAAGGGGGGGAUAACUAUUGGAAAGGAAGGCUAAUACCGCAAACUACCAGAUGGACUUGCGUUGUAUUAGUUAGUUGGUGGGGUAACGGCUCACCAAGGCAACGAUACAUAGCCGACCUGAGAGGGUGAUCGGCCACACUGGGACUGAGACACGGCCCAGACUCCUACGGGAGGCAGCAGUAGGGAAUCUUCGGCAAUGGACGGAAGUCUGACCGAGCAACGCCGCGUGAGUGAAGAAGGUUUUCGGAUCGUAAAGCUCUGUUGUAAGAGAAGCGGUAUCUUACCAGAAAGGGACGGCUAACUACGUGCCAGCAGCCGCGGUAAUUC